UACAGAGGUCUCAAGCGUUUGUUCGGAUUCAUUGGGCGUAAAGGGUGCGUAGGUGGCGAGGUUAGUCAGGUGUGAAAUCUCGGGGCUCAACCCCGAAACUGCACUUGAUACUGCCUUGCUAGAGUACUGGAGAGGAGAUUGGAAUUUACGGUGUAGCAGUGAAAUGCGUAGAUAUCGUAAGGAAGACCAGUGGCGAAGGCGAAUCUCUGGACAGUUACUGACACUGAGGCACGAAGGCCAGGGGAGCAAAACAGG
rnacentral:rRNA from 1 species